GAGAGAGAGAGAGAGAGAGAGAAUGGACUAUUUUACUAAGUAUUCUCAUAUUACAGACAAAAAUGUGUGUGUGUGUGUGUGUGUGUGUGUGUGUGUGUACACUCUCAGACCAGGAAAUUCCAAAAGAUUAAUUCUCCAGCCGAAAAAAAAAAAAAAUCAAGAGGGACAGAAAGUGCUGUAGCUACAGCUGUCUACUUCUGUUGCCUGAAAGAUCCCUUCUUAUAGCUAACACUUCAGCUUUGUGUCAUAAAGCUGACAUAACCAGGUCAUAAGUAUGUCAUAUGAGGUCAGUUUAUGUCCAGUGAUAUAAGUGAUGUAAUGUUUGCCAUGAUGCUAUGACAGUGACUCACAUGGGCUCUUUUUUUUCUAAAUGAACUCUAACAUAUUUUGAAAUCAGUGUUGUGAUGUGUAUGGUGGCCAUGAAGUGCAAAACAAAAUAACAAAUCCGAAAACACAACAACAAAAAUCAGAAAACAAAACAUCAAUAAUCAGUAAACAAAACAACAAUCAGAAAACAAAAUUAAAAAAAAUCAGAAAACAAAAUAACAAUCAGAAAACAAAAUUAAAAAAAUCUGAAAACAAAACAUCAGUAAUCAGAAAACAAAACAUCAAUAAUCAGUAAACAAAACAUCAAUAAUCAGAAAACAAAACAUCAAUAAUCAGAAAACAAAACAUCAAUAAUCAGUAAACAAAACAAUAAUCAGAAAACAAAAGAAAAAAUCAGAUAAAAUAAAUCAGAAAAAAAUAAAAUAAAUCAGAAAACAAAAUGUUAAAAAAUCAGAAAACAAAAUAACAAUCAGAAAACAAAAUUAAAAUAAAUCAUUUAAAAAAGAAUUUAUUGUAGAUAAAUAAAAGUUAAUUUUAACCUGUAAACAUGAAAUUAAAUGUAUUUACUCAGUAAAAAGAUUUACCUUUUAUUUAAUUUUUUUUAAAUACUUUAGUACCGGAUGCAUGGACUUUUAUUUGAGUGAGAUUUUUAAGUCAUCUGUAGUUUCACUUAAGUAUCAUUUCUAAAUAUAAUUGGGACUUAGAAGCUACAGACGUCAAGACGCCUUGUGAGAACGAAUUCCUCGUGUUCUAGCGUUUGAUCUCUUUUUUUAAACUGGCUGAUGUUCUUUGGAGAAGAGCGUGUGUGUUUGAGGUCUUAUCUAAUGAAACCAUGUGAAACAGCUGAUACAGUGUCUUUCUUCCCGUUACAGCACCAUGGGGCACUUAACAGAUGGAGUUAAACGACUCCAGAAGUACAUUCACUGUAAAUUGAAGUAUAUAGCGGUUAGAUGGAGGAUAGGCUCAACGCUCGCCACCUCAUCGCCCACUCAAGAUCAAAGCUCUGCUGGAGAGCACUGACCCAAGUGGGAGACUUUUACAAAGUCAAGAACAGCUUCAGUCUGGAACAUCCAGCUGUUCUCCUUCAUCUCCACACGGGUGUAGUUUUAAAGAAAAAAAAGCUCAUUGUUCCCAGCAUUCCUGGGAUAGGCUCCAGAUCCGCCAUGGCUUGGACAAGGACAUAGCCAUUACUGAAGAUGGGUGAAAGAAUCGGUGAAAAACAUUUUAUUUGCCUCAGCUCUCUUUGAGGUAUUUGUGAUAUCCAGCUCCGAACCCACCCGACCCAGCGGAUCAGAACCUCUACAGCCUCAUUUAUCCACCUCAGAUGUUAGGAAUGAACAAAAACUUGUCCCUGAGAUGAAGCAGCUCUGUGUCCUACCUGAUGCA